UAACUUUCAACAACGGAUCUCUUGGCUCUC
rnacentral:rRNA from 1 species